CAGAGACAGAGGUCUGAUCAGUCUCUCCUUUCCUCGAAACUCUCCAAAAGGUCCCAUACCACUGAGGAAAUAGCCAAAUCCUCAUAGUCACAGCCCUUUUGUCCUCCCACCUCAUCAUCUCCUUGCCCCCUUCCUCACUCUGCUUCAGCCCCACUGGCCUCCUUGCUGUUCCCCAAGCACAGAAGACUCUCCCGCAUCAGGCUUCCGGACUGUUCCCUGUUCCUUCCAUGGGAAUGCCUUUCCCAGACCCCUCCUAGUCACUCCCAGG
rnacentral:lncRNA from 10 species